GUCCGAGGCGGAAGAAAAUCGGGAGACAGGAGAUGAAAGAGAGAGGCCGACACACAGACAAAGGAGGAGACGACGAGGGAAUCGUGAAUGUGUAACUGAGAGAAAGUAUGAGAUGACAGUGAGGCGUUGGAGGAUCUUCCAUGUGAUGAACAUGGACCAUACACUUGUCAUGAUUACUGAUUCAAAGGGCCAUUAUUAAUUUCAAGUAUAUUCCAAAACAUGGGAAGAGUGGUCAGAAAAAUCUCUGAAUUUCAGUAUUCUAGCAUGUGAUGCAGUUGUUUUUAUAUUCCAUUUUGAAGCAAAAUCUUUUCUUGUCAAUCAAGCAACCACAGAGGAAAAUACAGAGGACAUGC